GGACCCGUGUCGCAAUGGUAGCGAGUCUGAUUCCAGUCCAGAAGGUUGUCCGGUAUGUGGAAAGAAAAAAAUCGAAUAAGAGGUUCAAAUAGACUAAUAAGCGAUGUAGUUCGAAUCGGGCCGGGUUCA